GGAAGAAGCCUUCCUCGGCCUGGUGUUCUCCGAGAGGGUGGCGACUACAGCCCCCUCCCCCUAGGGAAUUUUGGGAGUUGUAGUUCCACUUUGCCUGGAAGGCUGGUUCCUCCCAUGCCGAGAAUCGAAGUUUUUGGCUGACAAGGAAUGAUCCCCGGGUCUCUCACAAAGUAGCCCAGCUGGCGAAUCUUCCAUCAUUCUUGUUUGACUUUUGACACCAAUACUAAAAGAAUCUUUGCCUUAUGAGUGUGAUCUUGAGCAAGUCACUCGAAGGAUGAGUGUGACUCUGCCUGGAAAACAUUGCACCUGCCUGUAUGAAAACUGGACAAUGAGAGGAGCUGUUCCCAGACAAACAUAUCUAAAGAAUGGGUUCCACUGUUUAGGUCAGCUGAUCAGAUUGGUGGUACCAGGAAAUCCACAGUGUGUUUCCCAGCUGAGCUGCAAUAGAAGAAGCGGGCAGAGUUCUUGGAGUCAGACUUUUUCUGAGAGGGGAGCAAGGCCAGCAGAAUAACAUUUUAUCAGCGCCAUGAAUCCUGACAUAGGGAGCCCUGAAAACGUAACCCUAAAAGAAGAUGCUUGCCUGGAGAGCUGCAAGAAAUUACCUCAUGUGGAUCCCUGCAGGAACUUUACCAAAUCUACUGGAUUUGGAUUACAAUAAAACUGGA